GAUGAACGCUGGCGGCGUGCCUAAUACAUGCAAGUCGAGCGAACAGAUGAGGAGCUUGCUCCUCUGACGUUAGCGGCGGACGGGUGAGUAACACGUGGAUAACCUACCUAUAAGACUGGGAUAACUUCGGGAAACCGGAGCUAAUACCGGAUAAUAUAUUGAACCGCAUGGUUCAAUAGUGAAAGACGGUUUUGCGGUCACUUAUAGAUGGAUCCGCGCCGCAUUAGCUAGUUGGUAAGGUAACGGCUUACCAAGGCAACGAUGCGUAGCCAACCUGAGAGGGUGAUCGGCCACACUGGAACUGAGACACGGUCCAGACUCCUACGGGAGGCAGCAGUAGGGAAUCUUCCGCAAAGGGCGAAAGCCUGACGGAGCAACGCCGCGUGAGUGAUGAAGGUCUUCGGAUCGUAAAACUCUGUUAUUAGGGAAGAACAAAUGUGUAAGUAACUAUGCACGUCUUGACGGUACCUAAUCAGAAAGCCACGGCUAACUACGUG
rnacentral:rRNA from 1 species